rnacentral:rRNA from 1 species
AUGACGUACUUGUACUGAUUGAGAUUUUAACACGAAGUGAGUGGCGAACGGGUGAGUAACACGUGGGUAACCUGCCCAGAAGUAGGGGAUAACACCUGGAAACAGAUGCUAAUACCGUAUAACAGAGAAAACCGCAUGGUUUUCUUUUAAAAGAUGGCUCUGCUAUCACUUCUGGAUGGACCCGCGGCGUAUUAGCUAGUUGGUGAGGUAAAGGCUCACCAAGGCAGUGAUACGUAGCCGACCUGAGAGGGUAAUCGGCCACAUUGGGACUGAGACACGGCCCAGACUCCUACGGGAGGCAGCAGUAGGGAAUCUUCCACAAUGGACGCAAGUCUGAUGGAGCAACGCCGCGUGAGUGAAGAAGGGUUUCGGCUCGUAAAGCUCUGUUGUUAAAGAAGAACGUGGGUAAGAGUAACUGUUUACCCAGUGACGGUAUUUAACCAGAAAGCCACGGCUAACUACGUGCCAGCAGCCGCGGUAAUACGUAGGUGGCAAGCGUUAUCCGGAUUUAUUGGGCGUAAAGCGAGCGCAGGCGGUCUUUUAAGUCUAAUGUGAAAGCCUUCGGCUCAACCGAAGAAGUGCAUUGGAAACUGGGAGACUUGAGUGCAGAAGAGGACAGUGGAACUCCAUGUGUAGCGGUGAAAUGCGUAGAUAUAUGGAAGAACACCAGUGGCGAAGGCGGCUGUCUGGUCUGCAACUGACGCUGAGGCUCGAAAGCAUGGGUAGCGAACAGGAUUAGAUACCCUGGUAGUCCAUGCCGUAAACGAUGAUUACUAAGUGUUGGAGGGUUUCCGCCCUUCAGUGCUGCAGCUAACGCAUUAAGUAAUCCGCCUGGGGAGUACGACCGCAAGGUUGAAACUCAAAAGAAUUGACGGGGGCCCGCACAAGCGGUGGAGCAUGUGGUUUAAUUCGAAGCUACGCGAAGAACCUUACCAGGUCUUGACAUCUUCUGACAGUCUAAGAGAUUAGAGGUUCCCUUCGGGGACAGAAUGACAGGUGGUGCAUGGUUGUCGUCAGCUCGUGUCGUGAGAUGUUGGGUUAAGUCCCGCAACGAGCGCAACCCUUAUUACUAGUUGCCAGCAUUAAGUUGGGCACUCUAGUGAGACUGCCGGUGAC